GACAGGCCUGUGAUUGGACAGGAAUAUAGAGAUAGAGCUAGAAGUUUAGGAGUGAGAGAGGUCAGAGAGCAGGAGAAGGGAAGCAGGAGAAAUCAUCAUGGAGGUGGAUGAACAGGAGGACGAUCCAGACCCCGAGUGGUUUUAAACAGCAGCAAGUAGUUAAGCUGCUUCUCCACAUGUUCCUUCCAAGAACCUAUGGCCCUCAUUAUACAUGUUGAAAGUCCCUGGCUUAGGGCAGAGAACUUCAUUCCUUGCUUGGACUGAGGGCCACCUCUUGAGGCAUCACAACAUUGUGGAAUAGCUACAGGACCUACCAAAUUAGGGAAUGGGAACAUCUAUAGAACUGCACUCACAACAGUUUCACUUCUGUCACACGAGGACCGUUGUGUUCCCUACAAGAGACUCCUUCUUCUGCAAUAACCACCAAGAUGACAGAUCUCAGGUGGCAAUAUGAGCUGUCUGGGUUGAGUGGCGUCUAUUAGUUUUAUGACCAUGGGUUCAGAAUGGCCUUGUGGUGUCCACAGCCCAUCUUAAUGAAGAUGGGUAAGACAGCUGCCGAGGAAAUAAAAUCUCUUUGCUCCUUUCCGUUCCAUCUGAAAGUCCAUCAAACUUUCAUCUUCUGCAUCAAAACAGCUGCUGGGCCAAACACUCAGCCACAGUGAAUCAUAGCUCGUGGGCACACUGCUGUCUUUGAGAGGAGCAAAGGCAAGUGGGAACUUUCCUAGAUAGUGGAACACAGGGUUCUUGGUGCCCUUUCUACAUCAUUCUCUUGGAAGGAAGGCACCCAAAGCCAUCAUGUAGCAGUCCUCGUCCAGUGGAAAAUAACAGGUCAGAUGAGGGCAUCUAAGACCCCCUUGUUAAUGGCCAGAUCACACCAUAAGUGAGACCAUCUUAUAUUGUUAGCCUGAGUCUGUCAGUUACUUGGAGCUACAUGAGGAUCUCAUAUGAAGCCAUUAGAAUUGCCAGCCACAUCAAACCCAAAUUGUUGAGUCACAGAAACAUAAGCUACUAACACAGCUGUGGGAAACACUAAUUUGUAAUGUGGUUUGUAAUACAGCAACAACUAACCGAACUGCAUAUUUCAUGUGGUCUUCUCUCUCCAAUGCCUGCUAGAAGAUAUGUUGCACAGUCAUUAAGACAAAUUCAACUUUUUGCUCCAGCACAUUUGAGCCUUGGUGUCUUUCAGAAAGAAUAUGCCAAGGAGAUCAGAGGAGCUAACAAGGGCAAUACAUAAGCAUAGUACUUGUGAGGAAGUCAUCAUUCAUCUGAUAAUGUCUCACCUCAUUAUAGUUAUCUGAAUAAUUAUAGCCUGCUAGAUCAAAGGCAGGAACUUCACUGAUCAAUACAUAGUGCAGUGUUUUAUAUGGUUGGUAUUCAAUAUACACAUCCUGGACAAAUGCCCAAUUCCUCAAGAGCCAGUGUGGCUCCAUGCUACCAUAUUUACUGACUGUUCCAGAAGUGAUGUACUAAGAAGACUAAGGGAAAGCAUACUUCAGUUACUUUCCCUGGGUCCCUAUGCUCCUUGACACCACUGGCAUUUCCAAGGCUAAAUUUUCUAUGGCCCUCAGGAUUCCUUCCAGACUUGCGAUCCAUUUAGUAAAAUCACAAUACUAAUUAGAAUUGGUAUUUUUUGAAAUUCUUAUUACUGUUUCAGCCUCUGUACUAAACUGCCUGUGUAAACAAUCUGAUCACAAAAGCCUUGUCAGGAAGAUUAUAUUACAGCCACAGGAAUCGGGAGUCUCCAGUAGUUCACAGGGGUUGGUGAAUUUGGCCCCCUUAGUGGUUACUGUAUUGCCUGUGGCUGUGUCUGCACUUUAGUGGCAGAGCUGAGCAAUUCUUAUGAAAACCAGAGCCAGAUAGACUUACUAGCUGACACCUCAAAAAGAAAAUCUCAUUACACCCUGGUCUCAAGUGAUAAGCUAAGAAGAGAAUAAUUAGUCACGCCCAUUUUUGAGCUCCCCCCCGCCCCCAGACUCUGGGUCUCCUCCUUGAUUCACUUUCUUCAUCAUCAACUCAACUACACCUUUUGUAACUAAGAGUUAAUGACAAGCAAAUAUGUUUGGAGGAAUACUUCAGAGCCUUCUGCAAAUGCAACCGAGAGACUGUCAGCAGCUGAACCACACAUCUCUGUUCACACAUCUAGUGAUGAACAUGUAAUUAUCUGCUCCACUGUAGCUCUAGGCCAGGGGCUACAUUGUUCACUAAUUGAAAAGAAUAAGGAAAGAAAAGAUUUGCUCUCAAUACAAACUUAAAUGGCUGGAAUUACAUCUUUAUUAUCUGAAGUGGGCACUUGCAACUUGUUUAUCAUCACCUGUCCCGGCAUCAGGAAGAAAUAACAUAGAAAUUAGCCUCUGGCUGGUCAUCUCAUUAUAGUCCAGUUAUAGCCCAUUUUUAGAAAGUCCGUUGGAUACAAAAUCAUCCUGCCAAUAUAAAUGCAUAUGAGAUUUACUACACAUACUGCAAAGUUACCUAUUCUUCACAAGUACAGCCUUCCACACUGAGAGAUACUGGACUUAAAUAAAAAGAAUCCAUUAAAAAUGCAUAGCAAUGAAGACAAACAUCUCUGAACUCAGAAACUACAUUGUCUGCAAAACGUAAUUGAAUUUACAAAGAGACGCGAUAAUUUAAUGGCUGUCUUUACAAAAAUAAUUCUAUUCUCUGAAGGGUCAUGAUGUAGAAACAGAGAAUUAUACUUGUGAAUCCCUGUAGCCAGGACAGGAAUUGUAUUUGUUUUUCUCUUUGUCACUUUUUAUGAUCCCAAUCAGUACUAAAAAUGGUCCCCUGCCUGUU